ACACUUUCUAUUUAGAGAUGCUCUUACAAUUCACUUCAUGCUCGCCACUAGCAAAUAUACUUCCUCUUCCUUGGUACUGACUUUGUUCUCAUUCUCUUCUAAUUACCUUGACGAUGUCGAAACUCAACGAAGCACCACAAAGCGUGGCACUGGUUUUAGGCGUAACCGGCAUCGUCGGCAACAGCCUCGCUCAGAUUCUACCUCUCUCCAACACACCCGGCGGUCCAUGGAAAGUUUACGGUGUGGCUCGUCGCACCCAACCAAGUUGGAACGCUCUAAACACCGUCCACUACAUCCAGUGCGAUAUCUCCGACCAAAACGACGCCGAAUCCAAGCUCUCAUCUUUAACCGACGUCACUCACGUCUUCUAUGUCUGCUGGGCCAGAAGGCCCACGGAGGCCCAAAACUGCCAAGUGAACGGUGCCAUGUUGAGGAACGUUCUACGCGCCGUCAUCCCGAAUGCUCCCAAUCUCCGCCACGUGUCACUCCAGACAGGCACCAAGCACUACCUCGGACCCUUCGAACUGUUAGGAAAGAUCGAGGUCGCCCAUGAUCCGCCCUUCACGGAGGACUUGCCACGUCUUGACGCGCCGAAUUUCUAUUACACCCAGGAAGACAUCUUGUUCGAGGAGGUUCGUAAGAAGGGUUUAACGUUAACGUGGUUCGUUAACCGACCACAUUUUAUCUUUGGUUUCUCCCCUUAUAGCUUGAUGAACCUCGUUGGGACCCUUUGUGUUUACGCUGCUAUUUGCAAGCAUGAGGGUGUUCCGUUGUGGUUUCCAGGGACGAAAGCUGUGUGGGAGUGUUAUAACACUGCUUCGGAUGCUGAUUUGAUUGCGGAGCAGCACAUUUGGGGUGCAGUGGAUCCACGCGCGAAGAACGAGGCGUUUAAUUGUAGCAACGGGGACGUGUUCAAGUGGAAGCAUGUUUGGAAGGUGUUGGCGGAGAGGUUUGGGAUAAGGGAGUAUGGGUUUUUGGAAGGUGAGGAUUUGAGGUUGUCGGAGAUGAUGAAGGAAAAGGGUGCAGUGUAGGAAGAGAUUGUGAAGAAGAAUGGGUUGCAGAGAACGAAGCUUGAAGAUGUUGGGGAUUGGUGGUUUGCGGAUCUUAUUCUGAGAAUGGAGGCUGUGUUGGAUAGCAUGAACAAGGCGAGGGAGCACGGGUUUUUUGGAUUUAGGGACUCCAAGAAAUCGUUUAUGAAUUGGAUAGAUAAGACCAAAGCUUGCAAGAUCGUACCAUGACGUGAGGGUUUGGAGGGCCCUUUACUUUGAGGUUUGCUUUAGUUUCUUUUAAAGGAAUAAAACACCAGAGGAAUAGCUACUUUCCAUGUUUAUGUCCUGUUAAUUGUAUUGUUCUAAUAGUGCUUUCAUUUCUGUCUACUGUGGUCGGGAGAUUAGUUUAAGUGUGCCUUUGUGAUCCA